ensembl:lncRNA CTBP1-DT CTBP1 divergent transcript
GUCCGCCCCGAGGACCCUGCGGGCCCGGAAGCCGAGACAGGGCCGCCCACGUCAGCGCCUGGCGCGGGCCCGAACAAACCACGGCAUGGAGACGGAAUGAUGCAGACUCCUAUCCGCGAGAUACCUGCUGUAAUUUCGCUGUGGUUCGUGAGGACGCGUCCUGGGCUGCCCUGAGAAGCCUACGUCUCCCCUUCGAGGCCCGGGAAGACCUCCAACCCCGCUGACAAUGCUGGGCCCUCAGCCAGACCUGCCCUGCGUGCCACGUUCUGUUCUAAGAUCGGGCUGCCGAGCUGUGGCCUGGAGGAAACCUGGUGGGGCUGCCAUGAGCAGCAAGCUCAGUCCAGAAGAACAGUUCCUCUCCAGGAUCCACUUCCUGCGCACUUUUAUGUGCAGUGUAGCUGGAGCAGAGCUCCCCGGAAUUCCACAGGCAACUGAGAACGGAGAGGGAUGCAGGCCAGCCAGGGAUCCAGCGUCUUCCCCAUCGUCACUCUCCAUGGCCUCCGUCUACACACAGUGUUCGUCUGCACAGCUUGUCAGCGCGUUAUCAUGACUUCUAUUUGGCACCGGCCCGUCUGUCCACUGUCCUGGCUUGUUCCAAGCGCUGCCUUCUCCAACUGGGGUCCUGGCUGCAGAGCUGUCUGCUCCCCACGUUGGGCAACUCCAGCCAAGAUUCCUACACCCAAAUGUGACCGUGUUGCUCACGAAGAAGGCUCAGCUUUGCGUGUGCCCAGCCGUGUGCACAGCUCGUCCCAACUCCUGCGGGUGGCACCUGCCUCUCCCACCUCCAGUCUUUCCCCUGUGAUGAGCAGAUGACCACCGCCCUCCAGGGUCAGCGUUUGGCUGUUUGUGUGCCUGCCCACCCGCCUCCCUGUGCCUGGGCCUGCCCUGUGCCUGCACACAGGAGUGGCUCAUGGCGUUUGCCCUACACGGAUGGGCUGUCCUGGGAGCUACUGGACAGUCACCUUGGUGGGAAUGCCAGAGGCAUGGGCAUUAGGUCCCCCCGGCCAGCCUCCGUUGCCACAUGGGCUAUUUUUGUCCAUCGCGUGGGACAACCUAGUAUUGGGGGAAAACUCAGUCCACUCUAAAGAAGCAUCGGCGUUUUGGAUGGACGAAUGCUGCUUCAUGCGACUCCAUGUCAAUGGACUAUUUUAUUCAACUCGGGUAUUUAUGAGUGUCUCCUCUGUGCCAGCCACGUGUGAAAGAAGAACUCCAAGUUACUGGACACCAGGACAAACCAGGUAGAUCACUGCAUCCGGUUCCUCCUCUUUCUGCCGACUCUCCCGGGCAACCGUUCUGAUUCCUGGCAUGGAGUUGGGGGCGAGCUCAUCAGUACCCAGAGCGCCUGGUGUGCAGCCAAAGGCCCCCAUUUUAUUAGUCGGUGUGUUCAGUAUCACGCUCAAGACAAGGGCCAACCUAUUACUUCACACACCUCAAAUACAAAAAGUGCCUGGGAACGUCGAUGAGGUAUUAAAGGAAACCACUGGUCUUGUCAGUCAUGUACACACAGAAAAAAAAACCAGUCAUUUUUAUUUUUAUUUUUUGAGACAGAGUUUCGCUCUUGUUGCCCAGGCUGGAGUGCAAUGGUGCAAUUUCAGCUCACUGCAAUCUCUGCCACCCGGAUUCAAGCAAUUCUCCUGUCUCAGCCUCCCGAGUAGCUGGAAUUGCAGACACCCAUCACCACGCCCAGCUAAUUUUAUGUAUUUUUAGUAGAGAUGGGGUUUCACCAUGUUGGUCAGGCUGGUCUUGAACUCCUGACCUCAG